UUUGUUAAGCCAAAAUAGCAAUCCUUUAAUGGCAUUUGUCCGCUAGCUCGGGUGAAUUGAAUUUCAAACGGUAACCUAUUCCUUUUUUUAUUCUUCUUUUCAAUUCUACUUGGCUUCCCCUGUAAGAUUCGGAUUUCAAAUGCAUUCAAAAUGAAUUUCAACUUCAAUAGCUGUAGCACAUCGAUUUUGGACACAAGAAAACCCUAGAAUUGGCCUCCUAUAAAGAGAGAACCAUUUCGUCAUUCUGGGGAGGGUUUUUGGGAUACCUACAAGAUAGGUUUUCUCACAACCACAAAGGAUUUUUACACCCUCAAGAGUGAGAACACUCAGAAACUCGGCUAAGCCUUAAGUUUCGAGGAAGUUCUCGCUCAUUGUUUAAUUUUUGAAGUCUUCCGAUUCAUUGGAAUAGUUGGUUCAGGUGAAAUAGUGAUCGACUUAACUCUCGUCGCCCCCGUCGCUGCCCGAAGAAAAGAUUACUACACUUGGUUAAGGCUCACUGAUUGAAUAUGAUACUACGCAUGGGCCGAUGAGAACAUUUAAUUUGAGGCCAUGCCUUGUCCGAAAAGGUUAUCCCUCGGUUUAGGCUAUGGUGACCUCAUAGUAGUAUCACAAGGUAGGGACGAACAUGCAUUUGGCUAGGCAACUAGAAUGGCCACUAGUCUGCAGCCAAGACAUGUUUCGGAUUCCUUUGCCACAUUCAGAAACAUAAGUCUGAGCCUCCAUAAUCAAAGCUCUCAAAGUUUGAUACGAGUCCGAGGGAUACUAUUAUUAUGUUCAUACACGUCACCCUAUGGGGUGGCGUGCCAUUUUGACUAACUACUCUUCUCUUCAUUGUGCGAGGUACAAAUAAAACAACAUGGGAUUUGGGCCCAAGGCCGAAAAAACUAAAUUUUCUUCCCUUUCCUUUAUUUUGUAUAAACAUGCCUGCCUAUUUUAUAUGUUUACAUUCAUUUUGUAUGAACAUGUAUAUACUUGCAAAUACUUGUGUAUAAUUGAAACCCUUUAGAACUUAGUUAAAACCUUGCAUAAGAAAAAAUGAUUCAAGUUGUUUUCAAAAAUAGUUUUGGGCCUUGACUCACAUAGAGAUAACAAAACAAAAGAAAUCCUACUUAAACCCAAGUUGGGGAAGAUGGCUUUGGUAUGGAAUAUGGUUGACCUUAAAUGAGCUAAAAUGGUUAAAUAAGUGAAAUUCUUUUCUUUAUUUAUACUUAUAAUAUUUAUGCUAUUUUCUAAAAAGGGGAGAUGUACUCCAUCUUUUUUUCCUAAAUACAUAUGUAUAUAAAUUUAUAAGGAUAGAAUCAUGACAUUGGACCAAAUUAGUGAAAAACUCUACUUAAGAAAAAUCUUAAGUGUGUUUUGGUCCGGAAAUGAAGUGAAUUUAAUCAAUUAUAAACAUUUUCUCAAAGAAAAAUCAAUUUUUUCUUCCUUAAAAGAUAAUUUUUCCAAGAAGUGGAGUUUUAUGAUUAGCAUGACAGUUUUAGCAAUAAAGUAAAUAUUUUUAGAAAAUAAUCACAUUAAUCAUAUAUUAAAGCUCGUCGGUCAAUCGUAUUCUACGGAUCCUUAAUACUAUGGUGCUUAAAACCUUUCCUAGGGGAUCACAAGAACCCUUACCUCAAACUCUGACUUAAAAAGGAUUUUUCUCUUGUUUGACAAAAUCUUUUUAACUCCGUUUUCCUAAUUUUUUUUAUAAAAUGAGGUGGCGACUCUAAAAAUACUAAAAUUCAAUUUAGAGCACCAAUUAUAAUAUUUAUGCUAUUUUCUAAAAAGGGGAGAUAUACUCCAUCUUUUUCUCCUAAAUAUAUAUAAAUGUAUAUAAACUUAUAAGGAUAGAAUCAUGACGUUGGACCAAAUUAGUGGAAACUCUACUUAAGAAAAAUCUUAAGUGUGUUUUGGUCCGGACAUGAAGUGAAGUUAAUCAAUUAUAAAUAUUUUCUCAAAGAAAAACUAACUUUUUCUUCCUUAAAAGAUAAUUUUGCCAAAAAGUGGAGUUUUAUGAUUAGCAUGACAGUUUUAGCAAUAAAGUAAACAUUUUUAGCAAAUAAUCACAUUAAUCACACAUUGAAGCUCGUCGGUCAACCGUAUUCUACGAAUCCUUAAUACUAUGGUGCUUAAAAUCUUCCUUAGGGGAUCACUAGAACCCUUACCUCGAACUCUGGCUUAAAAAUGAUUUUUCUCUUAUUUGAUAAAACCCUUUUAACUCCAUUUUCUAAUUUCCUUUAUAAAAUGAGGUGGCGACUUUAAAAAUACUAAAAUCCAAUUUAGAGCACCAACAACCUCUUAGUAACUUUUAUGCACCACGUAAAAGUGAACCGUAAUAAUAAUAAUAAUAAUAAUAAUAAUAAUAAUAAUAAUAAUAUAAUAAUUAUUAUUAAUUAUUAUUAUGUGUAGUAGCAUAUGUUUAUUAUUUGUAUGGUAAUAGUGCUGUUGGUUAUAAUUUUUAGGGGUUAUACACCUUAUAUGAAUAAUAUCAAGCAGUCCUCUCAAUCAGGAUGGAUGAAUCAGGAUGGACCAUCCUCAGCCUAUCCAACUAUUUAAAACGAUGCUCCUUCCUCAAGUUUCGGUGCAAUUGAUUACUAUCGGUAGGUCUGCUUUUUAAACAUCAAUAGUCUUAUAUUUUAUGUUUAGUAGUUAAAAUACUCUAUUUUCUUGUGUAGGGAAAAUUUUACACAAAAUGAGCUCGUUGCACCAAAUGUGGAUCAUUCCUCUAACCCAUGCAAUUUUUAUCGGAAAAAACUUUUACUGGAUGGUGUUGAUUAUCAGAAUUAUAUAGAAUCAUUAUCGAGUGAUAGUGAUGACAUACCUAAUGCGGAGGAAUCAGAGGAUGAAGUCCCUUUUUCAGUGAUUGAAAGUGAGGAUGAUAUUAAUCCUCAAAGUCAAGUACCACUGUUAGAAGCGAUGAUGUAAAGUCCGUCACACCAGGAAGAACUGAAUUCGCAGCACCCAGUUCACCAGUAAGAGUCGAUGUUGCAAAGCCAAUUUCGGUAGCAAGAACCGAUGCUGGAAGAAAUUUCGAUUCAAUGGCAUUC